UACGUGAGGGGCGAGCGUUGUCCGGAGUUACUGGGCGUAAAGGGCAUGCAGGCGGUCGGACGCGUUUCGGGUGAGCAGCAGGGUCGGGCUUAACUACCCGAGUGGUCGAAAGACGGUUUGACUUGAGGACGCGAGAGGGACACGGAAUUCCGGGUGGAGUGGUGAAAUGCGUGAGAGAGUCCGGAAGGAACACCGAAGGCGAAGGCAGUGUCCUGGCGCGUAACUGACGCUGAGGUGCGAAAGCCGGGGAGCGGAACGGGGAUUAAGAA
rnacentral:rRNA from 1 species